UAAUUUAUCUGGCAGGGGAGGUACCAUGACCACAAGGUGGUUUUCCCAGUAAGACUUGUUCAUUGCACUCCACAUGUGCUGAUCCCUGCAAUUUCCCCAAAUAUGGGAAACCUAACUGCAUAAUUUGUGAUAGUGGGGGACUGCAUUUGUACUCUCCCGUA